AGUGAACGCUGGCGGUAGGCCUAACACAUGCAAGUCGAACGGCAGCACAGUGGAGCUUGCUCCUUGGGUGGCGAGUGGCGGACGGGUGAGGAAUACAUCGGAAUCUACUCUGUCGUGGGGGAUAACGUAGGGAAACUUACGCUAAUACCGCAUACGACCUGCGGGUGAAAGCAGGGGACCUUCGGGCCUUGCGCGAUUGAAUGAGCCGAUGUCGGAUUAGCUAGUUGGCGGGGUAAAGGCCCACCAAGGCGACGAUCCGUAGCUGGUCUGAGAGGAUGAUCAGCCACACUGGAACUGAGACACGGUCCAGACUCCUACGGGAGGCAGCAGUGGGGAAUAUUGGACAAUGGGCGCAAGCCUGAUCCAGCCAUACCGCGUGGGUGAAGAAGGCCUUCGGGUUGUAAAGCCCUUUUGUUGGGAAAGAAAUCCAGCUGGCUAAUACCCGGUUGGGAUGACGGUACCCAAAGAAUAAGCACCGGCUAACUUCGUGCCAGCCGCCGCAGUAA
rnacentral:rRNA from 1 species